rnacentral:rRNA from 1 species
CCUACGGGAGGCUGCAGUGCGGAAUAUUGGUCACUGGACGAGAGUCUGAACCAGCCAAGUAGCGUGAAGGAUGACUGCCCUAUGGGUUGUAAACUUCUUUUAUAUGGGAAUAAAAUGUUCCACGUGUGGGAUUUUGUAUGUACCAUAUGAAUAAGUAUCGGCUAACUCCGUGCCAGCAGCCGCGGUCAUACGGAGGAUCCGAGCGUUAUCCGGAUUUAUUUGGUUUAAAGGGAGCGUAGGUGGAUUGUUAAGUCAGUUGUGAAAGUUUGCGGCUCAACCGUAAAAUUGCAGUUGAAACUGGCAGUCGUGAGUACAGUAGAGGUGGGCGGAAUUCGUGGUGUAGCGGUGAAAUGCUUAGAUAUCACGAAGAACUCCGAUUGCGAAGGCAGCUCACUGGACUGCAACUGACACUGAGGCUCGAAAGUGUGGGUAUCAAACAGGAUUAGAUACCCUAGUAGUC